rnacentral:rRNA from 1 species
CCUACGGGAGGCAGCAGUGAGGAAUAUUGGUCAAUGGUCGGGAGACUGAACCAGCCAAGCCGCGUGAGGGAUGAAGGUACAGAGUAUCGUAAACCUCUUUUGUCAGGGAACAAAGGCGGGGACGCGUCCCCGGAUGAGUGUACCUGAAGAAAAAGCAUCGGCUAACUCCGUGCCAGCAGCCGCGGUAAUACGGAGGAUGCGAGCGUUAUCCGGAUUUAUUGGGUUUAAAGGGUGAGCAGGCGGUCUUUUAAGUCAGCGGUAAAAGCCCGGGGCUCAACCCCGGCCCGCCGUUGAAACUGGCAGUCUCGAGUUGGAGAGAAGUAUGCGGAAUGCGCGGGGUAGCGGUGAAAUGCAUAGAUAUCGCGCAGAACUCCGAUUGAGAAGGCAGCAUGCCGGCUCCACACUGACGCUGAGGCACGAAAGCGUGGGUAUCGAACAGGAUUAGAUACCCGUGUAGUC